UUGGGAAUGGGGGCGGGGAGAAUCUUUUUAAUUAAAAAUUUGAAUUGCAAAUUGUAUAUAAGAUUAUAGUGAAAAUUGGCUGAAGUUUUGUACUACUUAAAUAUGGUAUGGUGGCAGAUUGCUAGAUUUCUUAGAGAUUAUUUGUGAGUGUUCCAACAUACAAUGGUUUGUUAGUAAUAACAGGAAAUAAAGUAACUGGACUCUCAGACAGACCUUAUAGUUGAUUCAGAGCCUAAGAAACUACCUUUUUAACGUGGUGUUUCCACUUAUACUAUUCAGCCAUAAAGCGAAUGGCAAAUAGACAAGAAUUGAAAAGCCCCUGUUGUGAGUGGAUUUUGAAAGUCUGGCGGCAGGACAGUUUCCCCAGGUGUUUUAUUUGUGCUGUCCUCAGUAAACGAGAGUGACUCGAACCUGCCAAGAAAGAGAUUUGAGUCUUCAGAACAGUUGACCCUGACUUAUAAUGCUCAGAAAAUAACUCACAAUGCAGGUGUCAUUUGAACGAAAUGGUGUCGAGCGGUAUUCAUAUAGCACAGAGCAACUCAAGGCAGUGUGG
rnacentral:lncRNA from 1 species